CGCCUUGCCAGCCCGCUCAGAACUUAAAUGAAUUGACGGGGGCCCGCACAAGCGGUGGAGUAUGUGGUUUAAUUCGAUGCAACGCGAAGAACCUUACCUGGUCUUGACAUCCCGGAGACCCUUAGGAAACUAGGGGUGCUUCCAUCUGGAAGAAUCUGGAGACAGGUGCUGCAUGGCUGUCGUCAGCUCGUGUCGUGAGAUGUUGGGUUAAGUCCCGCAACGAGCGCAACCCUUGCCUUUAGUUGCCAGCAGUUCGGCUGGGCACUCUAAAGGGACUGCCGGUGUUAAACCGGAGGAAGGUGGGGAUGACGUCAAGUCCUCAUGGCCUUUAUGACCAGGGCUACACACGUACUACAAUGGCCGAUACAAAGGGCAGCGACACUGCGAGGUGAAGCCAAUCCCGUAAAAUCGGUCUCAGUCCGGAUUGGAGUCUGCAACUCGACUCCAUGAAGUUGGAAUCGCUAGUAAUCGUGGAUCAGCAUGCCACGGUGAAUACGUUCCCGGGCCUU
rnacentral:rRNA from 1 species